GACGAACGCUGGCGGCGUGCCUAAUACAUGCAAGUCGAACGCAGUGGGGACGGGUGAGUAACACGUGGGUAACCUCCCAUCAGAGGGGAUAACACUUGGAAACAGGUGCUAAACUGAUACUGAAGGAUGGACCCGCGGUGCAUUAGCUAGUUGGUGAGGUAACGGCUCACCAAGGCCACGAUGCCUAGCCGGCCGGAGAGGGUGAUCGGCAACACGGGUACUGAGACACGGCCCAGACUCCUACGGGAGGCAGCAGUGGGGAAUCUUCGGCAAUGGGCGAAAGUCUGACCGAGCCACGCCGCGUGAGUGAAGAAGGUUUUCGGAUCGUAAAGCUCUUUUGUUAGGGAGGCGGUAUCUAACCAGAAAGCCACGGCUAACUACGUGCCAGCAGCCGCGGUAAUUC
rnacentral:rRNA from 1 species